GAUUGUGUCUGUUCUGACCAACGUGCUCGUGGGUGGAAACACCCCAAGGAAGAACCCCGUGCAUCCCAGCUCAAGGUGGUCAGAGCUAGACCUUCUUAUUCUGUUGGGGACAGCGGGCCACGUCUUGAGCCUGGGCGCCAGCAGCUUCGUGGAGGAGGAGCACCAGACCUGGUACUUCCUGGUGAACACCCUGUGUCUAGCUCUGAGCCAAGAAACCUACAGAAACUACUUUCUGGGAGAUGACGGUGAACCUCCGUGCGGCCUCCGUGUAGAACAAGGGCUUGACGGGGCCGCAGCAGCGCGGCAGGACGGGCCUGGCUGUGAGGUGCUGGAGCGAGACAAAGGCCACGGAAGCCCCUCUACCUCCAAAGUACUCAGAGGCCGCGAGAAGUGGAUGGUGCUGGCCAGUCCGUGGCUAAUACUGGCCUGCUGCCGGCUGCUGCGCUCCCUAAACCAGACAGGUGUGCAGUGGGCUCACCGGCCUGACCUCGGCCACUGGCUCACCAGGGGUAUUAUUGAAGCUCGUUUUGUUUAUGUCUUUGUCCUUGGCAUUCUGUUCACCGGCACCAA
rnacentral:sRNA from 1 species